rnacentral:rRNA from 1 species
AACGCGAAGAACCUUACCAGCUCUUGACAUGCCCGGUAUGGGCGGGAGAGAUCCCGCUCUUCGGUUCGGCCGGCCGGGACACAGGUGCUGCAUGGCUGUCGUCAGCUCGUGUCGUGAGAUGUUGGGUUAAGUCCCGCAACGAGCGCAACCCCAUCUGCAGUUGCCAGCGGUUUGGCCGGGCACUCUGCAGAAACUGCCGGUGACAAGCCGGAGGAAGGCGGGGAUGACGUCAAGUCCUCAUGGCCCUUAUGGGCUGGGCUACACACGUGCUACAAUGGCGGUGACAGUGGGAUGCAAUGGGGCAACCCUGCGCAAAUCUCAAAAAGCCGUCUCAGUUCGGAUUGUGCUCUGCAACUCGAGCACAUGAAGUCGGAAUCGCUAGUAAUCGCAGAUCAGAACGCUGCGGUGAAUACGUUCCCGGGCCUUGUACACACCGACGCGUA